rnacentral:rRNA from 1 species
AUACGGAGGGUGCAAGCGUUAAUCGGAAUUACUGGGCGUAAAGGGUUCGUAGGCGGUUAUUUAAGUCAGAUGUGAAAGCCCCGGGCUCAACCUGGGAAUUGCAUCUGAUACUGGGUAACUAGAGUCUAAGAGAGGAGUGUGGAAUUUCCGGUGUAGCGGUGAAAUGCAUAGAGAUCGGAAGGAACAUCAGUGGCGAAGGCGGCACUCUGGCUUAAAUCUGACGCUGAGGAACGAAAGCGUGGGUAGCAAACAGGAUUAGAAACCCUAGUAGUCC